UUGAGAUUGAAUCUUCGGAUGAGAACUCUUGUGACUGAGUGGCGGACGGGUGAGUAACGCGUGGGUAACCUACCUCAUACAGGGGGAUAACAGUUGGAAACGACCGCUAAUACCGCAUAACCCGCUAGUAUCGCAUGAUACGGACGGAAAAGAUUUAUCGGUAUGAGAUGGACCCGCGUCUGAUUAGCCAGUUGGCAGGGUAACGGCCUACCAAAGCAACGAUCAGUAGCCGGCCUGAGAGGGUGAACGGCCACAUUGGGACUGAGACACGGCCCAAACUCCUACGGGAGGCAGCAGUGGGGAAUAUUGCACAAUGGGGGAAACCCUGAUGCAGCGACGCCGCGUGAGUGAGGAAGUAUUUCGGUAUGUAAAGCUCUAUCAGCAGGGAAGAAAAUGACGGUACCUGACUAAGAAGCCCCGGCUAACUACGUGCCAGCAGCCGCGGUAAUACGUAGGGGGCAAGCGUUAUCCGGAUUUACUGGGUGUAAAGGGAGCGUAGACGGUUAAUCAAGUCAGAAGUGAAAACCCAGGGCUCAACCUUGGGACUGCUUUUGAAACUGAGUAGCUAGAGUGCAGGAGAGGUAAGCGGAAUUCCUAGUGUAGCGGUGAAAUGCGUAGAUAUUAGGAGGAACACCAGUGGCGAAGGCGGCUUACUGGACUGUAACUGACGUUGAGGCUCGAAAGCGUGGGGAGCAAACAGGAUUAGAUACCCUGGUAGUCCACGCCGUANACGAUGAAUACUAGGUGUCAGGGGGCAAAGCUCNUUGGUGCCGCAGCAAACGCAAUAAGUAUUCCACCUGGGGAGUACGUUCG
rnacentral:rRNA from 1 species